AACGAACGCUGGCGGCAUGCCUAACACAUGCAAGUCGAACGAGACCUUCGGGUCUAGUGGCGCACGGGUGCGUAACGCGUGGGAACCUGCCCUUAGGUUCGGAAUAACUCCCCGAAAGGGGUGCUAAUACCGGAUAAUGUCUUCGGACCAAAGAUUUAUCGCCUUUGGAUGGGCCCGCGUUGGAUUAGCUAGUUGGUAGGGUAAAAGCCUACCAAGGCGACGAUCCAUAGCUGGUCUGAGAGGAUGAUCAGCCACACUGGGACUGAGACACGGCCCAGACUCCUACGGGAGGCAGCAGUGGGGAAUAUUGGACAAUGGGCGAAAGCCUGAUCCAGCAAUACCGCGUGAGUGAUGAAGGCCUUAGGGUUGUAAAGCUCUUUUACCCGGGAUGAUAAUGACAGUACCGGGAGAAUAAGCUCCGGCUAACUCCG
rnacentral:rRNA from 1 species